UGAAACCAAUUUUAUCCACGCAUGACAAUAAACUCUUCGUCUUUGAACAAAUUUGGUGGCCAAUUUGCCAGUAUCAUAGUCAAGUUUGACCAAAAUUCCGUCACAAAAUUCAAGCUCAAACGGAGAAAAGUAGAUGAAUUCGCUUUCACCUCUCCGGAAUAUACGAAUCUCCAAAGAAGAGAGCACUCAGAGGGGUGGCAGGAGUGGUGAAGGGUAGAGGGAUGGUCAGAGGAGCGAAGGGCAAUGGGGGUGAU
rnacentral:lncRNA from 1 species